CAAGGCACUUGGUUCCCAUCAAAUGUCCCCACUCAGUGCCCAAUCACAUGUGUCUUUAGUGUUCAUUUUCUCUUCCUAAAAAGGAACCAAGCAUGGUAUCUGCCUCCUCUCCCCAACAAAGGGCUUAGGUGGAAUUAAAAGGGAUUAUGUUUGGAGAGGAAAACUAGCCUUUAAUCACCAACAGAAGGACACACCAGCCUGAAGGUGCAUGUCCAUCGCUAACCCGAAACCUGACCCUGACCUGUUAGCCUCUGCUCCACGCCAUCCCCUUGUCCUUGGGUGGUCACCAGCACGGGCUUCGCCGGACAGAUACGACUAUUGCUCUGGAAGAACUGGACCCUGCGGAAAAGGCAAAAGCUUUUCAAGAAUGUAUCGAGAUUUUCAAGAACUCCUCAUGAAUGCACCAGAAAGCCAGCACUUUGGCCAGGUUUGGACAGAGCUCCGCACCUCGUCCCAGCUCAUGGACACCCUGCGGACUCACCCUGAGAGAAUUGUAGGACGAGGAAUACGCAUUUGGAAUAUCCUGAAAGAUGAAGAGGCGCUGACCCUAUUUCUCAUUAAAAACAUUGGCCUGUCCAGCUCAUUUGUCUACCUGCUGGUCAACUCCCGAGUCCAUGUGGAGGAGAGUCCAUGA
rnacentral:lncRNA from 1 species